AGAGCGAACGCUGGCGGCAGGCUUAACACAUGCAAGUCGAGCGGGCGUAGCAAUACGUCAGCGGCAGACGGGUGAGUAACGCGUGGGAACGUACCUUUUGGUUCGGAACAACACAGGGAAACUUGUGCUAAUACCGGAUAAGCCCUUACGGGGAAAGAUUUAUCGCCGAAAGAUCGGCCCGCGUCUGAUUAGCUAGUUGGUGAGGUAACGGCUCACCAAGGCGACGAUCAGUAGCUGGUCUGAGAGGAUGAUCAGCCACAUUGGGACUGAGACACGGCCCAAACUCCUACGGGAGGCAGCAGUGGGAAUAUGGACAAUGGGCGCAAGCCUGAUCCAGCCAUGCCGCGUGAGUGAUGAAGGCCCUAGGGUUGUAAAGCUCUUUUGUGCGGGAAGAUAAUGACGGUACCGCAAGAAUAAGCCCGGCUAACUUCGUGCCAGCAGCCGC
rnacentral:rRNA from 1 species